rnacentral:rRNA from 1 species
GUGUCAGCAGCCGCGGUAAAACGUAGGAGGCAAGCGUUAUCCGGAGUUACUGGGCGUAAAGGGCGUGCAGGUGGUUCAAUAAGUUGGUUAUGAAAGCUCCUGGCUAAACUGGGAGAGGUUGACCAAGACUGUUGAACUUGAGUGGAUGAGAGGUAAACGGAAUUCCGCGUGUAGUGGUGAAAUGCGUAGAGAUGCGGAGGAACACCAGUGGCGAAGGCGGUUUACUGGCAUCCAACUGACACUGAGACGCGAAAGCAUGGGUAGCGAACGGGAUUAGAUACCCCAGUAGUCC